rnacentral:rRNA from 1 species
UGGGGAAUAUUGGACAAUGGGCGCAAGCCUGAUCCAGCAAUGCCGCGUGAGUGAUGAAGGCCUUAGGGUUGUAAAGCUCUUUUACUAGGGAUGAUAAUGACAGUACCUAGAGAAUAAGCUCCGGCUAACUCCGUGCCAGCAGCCGCGGUAAUACGGAGGGAGCUAGCGUUGUUCGGAAUUACUGGGCGUAAAGAGAACGUAGGCGGUCUAUCAAGUCAGGGGUGAAAUCCCGGGGCUCAACCCCGGAACUGCCCUUGAAACUGAUAAACUAGAAUCCUGGAGAGGUUAGUGGAAUUCCGAGUGUAGAGGUGAAAUUCGUAGAUAUUCGGAAGAACACCAGUGGCGAAGGCGACUGACUGGACAGGUAUUGACGCUGAGGUUCGAAAGCGUGGGGAGCAAACAGGAUUAGAUACCCCCGUAGUCC